GAUGAAGAACGUAGCGAAAUGCGAUAAGUAAUGUGAAUUGCAGAAUUCAGUGAAUCAUCGAAUCUUUGAACGCAUCUUGCGCUCCUUGGUAUUCUGAGGAGCAUGCCUGUUUGAGUGUCAUUAAAUUCUCAACUACACUGACUUUGAAUUGGUGUGGCUUGGAUUUGGGGGGAAAAUUGUUGUGGGCUUUUUGUAUAGUCUGCUCCCCUGAAAUUGAUUAGCGGUACCUUUGUGGAACUGUCUACAGGUGUGAUAAUUAUCUACAUCUUAGACAUCUGCUGGAAUGCUGCUUUCUAAACCUUACUUGUAUUGACAAUCUUGACCUCAAAUCAGGUAGGACUACCCGCUGAACUUAAGCAUAUCAAUAAGCGGA
rnacentral:misc_RNA from 1 species